rnacentral:rRNA from 1 species
CCCUAGUAGCGGCGAGCGAAGCGGGAAAAGCUCAAAUUUGUAAUCUGGCGUCUACGACGUCCGAGUUGUAAUCUCGAGAAGUGUUUUCCGUGAUAGACCGCAUACAAGUCUCUUGGAACAGAGCGUCAUAGUGGUGAGAACCCAGUACACGAUGCGGAUGCCUAUUACUUUGUGAUACACUUUCGAAGAGUCGAGUUGUUUGGGAAUGCAGCUCAAAUUGGGUGGUAAAUUCCAUCUAAAGCUAAAUAUUGGCGAGAGACCGAUAGCGAACAAGUACCGUGAGGGAAAGAUGAAAAGCACUUUGGAAAGAGAGUUAACAGUACGUGAAAUUGUUGGAAGGGAAACACAUGCAGCCAGACUUGCUAUUCGGGGCAACUCGAUUGGCAGGCCCGCAUCAGUUUUUCGGGGCGGAAAAUCAUAGAGAGAAGGUAGCAAUUUCGGUUGUGUUAUAGCUCUUUAUUGGAUUCGCCCUGGGGGACUGAGGAACGCAGCGUGCUUUUAGCAUAAGCUUCGGCUUAUCCACGCUUAGGAUGCGGGUGUAAUGGCUGUAUAUGAC